GUGCCAGCAGCCGCGGUAAGACGUAGGAUGCGAGCGUUGUCCGGAUUUAUUGGGCGUAAAGAGUUCGUAGGCGGUUCGUUAAGUUCGAUGUUAAAGAUCGGGGCCCAACCCCGGGACUGCAUUGAAUACUGGCGGACUGGAGUGCAGUAGAGGCAAGUGGAAUUCCCAGUGUAGCGGUGAAAUGCGUAGAUAUUGGGAAGAACACCAGUGGCGUAAGCGACUUGCUGGGCUGUAACUGACGCUGAGGAACGAAAGCCAGGGGAGCGAAUGGGAUUAGAUACCCCAGUAGUCC
rnacentral:rRNA from 1 species